GAAUGAGGUGCAAUGCAAACAAUAGGAGGCUUUUGAAGUAGAGAAAGCCAUGAAAGAAGUGCCAAGGACUCAAAUGGUUAGCAAUAAUCCCCUGUAUCGAAAGCAAAAUCCCUUUUUCGAACCUGUUUUGAUGGAAGUUGAUGAAGUGAGUUGUGAAGGCGGAAUCCAGCACCACCAUCUGCCUGAUAAAGUUAUGAUAGACCCAGUGAUGUCCAGCAGUGGGGAUCAUAGUGUCGUGAAGGUUAAACUCAAUUUGGGUGCUAAGGAUGUUGCAAAAAUUUGAGCAGCAGCAUCAACAAGAUGAACUCCAGACUCAACAAUUGGAAAGCCUCCUCGCUAUCCCUUGUUGAAAGAACUACCCUGGUGAAAUAUGUUCUAUAAUCUAAUUCCUAGUUAUACUAUGCAAACUGCUUUGUUACCUACUUCUACUAGUAAUAUGAUAGAUUGCAAAUGCAAAAAUUUUCUUUUCGAAGAAUCUGAACAAUCCAAGAAGAUUCAUCUCUUGAAUUGGAGAGAAGUUAGCAAGCCAAAGUAAAAUGGUAGCCUAGGAGUAAGACAUGCUAAAGAUGUUAACCGCGCCUUCAUGAUGAAAAUAGGAUGGGGGCUUAUUGAGAAAAAGGAUUUCCUCUGGGCCAGAAUUCUCUGCACUAAGUAUAAUUGCGAAAAUGAUAUCUUGCCAGAGGUUGUUAGGAGAGGCAGCAACUCUAAUCUUUAGAGAGAAAUCUACUCUACGUGGAAUAAUGUGGAAAGAAAUAUUAUUUGGCGCAUUAGUGAUGGUCAUCAGAUUAAUUUUUGGGAUCACAAUUGAGUGUCGAAUCUUGGAAAACUCCUAAUCAUGAGAUAUAGGUAUUGUCAUAUUCUGAUUUAUAUUCAAACUUUACGGAUUUUCUUAAUAUUUCAGGUGAGUGGGAUGAGGAAAAACUUAAACAGAUGCUUCCAGAAGCUACUACCAGGAGAAUUCUAGCUAUGUCGCCUCCAUCACCUUGAAAAUGGCCUGACCAAGUGGCCUGGAGCUGAAUACAAAAUGAUACUUUUAGCCUUAAAAUAUCCUACCAAUCCUUGCUUGGUGAUUAUGAACCUCUUGCCAAGUCUGUAAACUUGCGUGGAAGUGAAAGUCCCGAAAAGGAUCACAGCUUUCAUUUGGCUUGUUGCGCAUGAAGUUAUUCUUACAAAUGUUGAUAGAAGAAUACAUCUAUCAAAUUCUGCUACUUGCCUAAGAUGCACUGAGCAUGAUAAAACUACUUUUCAUGUCAUUCGUGAUUGUUCUUCUGCAAAACAUGUUUGGCAAUUCACGAGGCUCCAUGAAGCAAUUCGUGACUUCUUUAGUUUAGACCUAAGAGAUUGAUUGAUAAACAAUUUAUCUAAUAAUCAUGAUUGGAUAAUUCUUUUUGAGGUAACAAUCUCUUCUCUUUCGUACCACAGAAACUGCUUUAUUCUUUAAGAAAAAAAUAUUCUCCUAGUUGUAGUCUCUAAGUCCGCUAAAGCUUGCAGUAUUGAAAUUCUGAAUGUUAUAAGAAGUAUUAUUCUUCCCAACAGAUUUUUUGGGGAGGAAGCUUGGUUGAUUCAAUGGAUUUUUCCUGCAGAGGAUAUUACCAAGUUGAAUGUUGAUGGUUCCCUUUUAUCCCAUUCUAAUAGUGCUGCUUGUGGUGGAGUUUUUCGAAAUCAUCUUGGGAGAUAUAUGACUGAAUUCUCUUGUAAUUUGGAAAGUUGCUCAAUCUUACAUGUAAAACUUUGGGGUAUUAUAAAAGGCCUUCAAGUGGCAUGUGCAAACAACUUUCAACACCUUGUGUUGGAGUCAGAUUCUUUGCUGGCCAUCCAUCUUAUUAUGAAGAAUGUCCUGUAAUCCAUCUAUGCAAACAUUUUCUAAUUGACAUUGAAAAUCUAGUGAACAUGUUGAUGAUCGUCAACUGGCACCAUGCCUUGCGUGAAGCAAAUAGUGUUCUUGAUAUUCUUGCUAAAAAGGGACAACACCUCCCAGCUGGUCUUCAUUUGUUCGACCAUCCCCCUCUAGACAUUAUGCAAGCUUUGACUUGAGAUCAUUCUGACACUUUUAGAUUGAGAAGAGACUAAUUUUUAUUUGUUAUUUUCUCUUUUCCUUGUUUUCGGGUCCUUAACCCUCUUCAUUCAAAAAAAAACUUUUACCGUUAUUUAUAA